ACUCUCUCACCUCCUCAUUCUUCUUCUUCUUCAUCUGCUCUCUUUCUCUCUCCUAAAUCCCUUCUUUCUCCGCCAUAUUCCCCCAAUUCUGAGGUCCUUUUCGUGAAUUCUCCCCCGUUUUCUCGCCGCGGUUUCUUCCCCAGGUAACUCCCAUUUCGACGCUUUUUUCUGAAUCCCCCCUUUUUUGUUCUAAGUUUUCUCUAAUUCGUGGUUUUUUUGGGUUUUUUGCAAGUAAUUGUUGAAAUUGGGUGACAAUUCGUCUUGGUUUUUGUGAAAAUUUGCUCGACUCUUUCUCUCCAAGCAUCUGGCCUUCGACCUCAGCCUUCGAACUCAGCCGCCUUCGAAAUUGAGGAGUUGUAAACUUGUAAUAGGGCUAUGAGGAUCCAGGUCUGUUUCACCAGCCUUGGACUGCUGUUUUCCGAACACAUCUUAUUACUGGUGUAACCGAACGCCUCACUCCCAAAGGUCUACACUCCGAGGAAUGCGCCUAUACUAGUGAGGAAAUUGAUGUGGUUCGUGAGCAACGGGCUAAGUGUUUUACCCGCAAGUAUUUACUAUUGGCUUGAGCGCGCUUGAUCGAGGUGGUUUAGUUGUUAUAGAACAAUCGUUUACAUUAAAAUGUAUGCGUACAUUGAAAUUGGAACGUAUAUUUGAAUGUAGUACGUGCACUUUGGUUUUGGGAUAUAUAUAUGUAUACAAAACACCAGUUAUUAUUUUUUAUAUUUGUUGA